rnacentral:lncRNA from 1 species
UUAAACUUGUUUUUACGUUUUUGAGUCAAGUCCAAGUGAUUUUGCAAUCCCUCCUAAUCCCCGCCCUAGAACGAUCCCUACUUACAUACUUGCCACAAUUGAUAAAAAGAGGGUUAAUUUGAGUGUCAACAUAAUUUUCACAUCAAUGACUACAGAAGAGGUAUCAUCAUUGAUGACCAAGCUGAUUGGCUCUAGUGCAAGUGGGAGAUUGUUGGAAAUGUUCCCUAAAACCAAUCAUAUGAUGAUACUUUACGGACAUUUCACAUGUUACACUAAUCUAGUUUAAUAUCAAGGGCAAAGAGUAUUGUUUUAAGCUGUCUCAUAUAAAUGUUAUAUGCUUAAACGAUAAGUCCAAGAAAUAUGUAAUUAGGAGAAUGUAAUUUAAAGAAGUUAGAUUCAUGAGACCAUUCUCUUUCGUAUACAUAUCUUGAACGUUCCUGAUCAUAGGAUUGCCAAUUGGGCAUUGACAGUCCGUUAAGAUAAGUACGUGUUGUGUCUCUCUCAGGGAGAGUGACUGGUCUCAAGUCAUUGGUGUGAUUGACACCAAGACAAGCAUGUAGGUGCUCGUAGAGAAUGAGUCCACUGAACACGAUCAACGAUGACUUCUCAUACUCAUGUCACAUGAGAACUCAUGUUUGGGAUAAUGCAAAGUAGUCUUUUGACAUGAGGCAUCAUAGUUGUCUUGUGGUUAGGUCCUUGAUCUUUGACUAUGUCAAAGUCACUCCAUCAGAGGGUGUCCACGACAUAGUUGGGGUUAAGCCACUUAGCCAUGGAGGCAAGUGAAUGCGCAACAAGGGAUCUCUAACCUUCAAACCGUUUGAGGGAGAAUACUCUAUGAUAUGAUUAAGAAUCUCUAGCCAGAGUAUGAAUGAGAUUUAGGAAAUCGUUCCAAAUCACAUUCAAGGUAAUCAUAUAAGUAAGAGAAUCACAUUGGAUAGUAGACAUGAAUAAAUUAUCAAACCAAACAAUGUGGUCAAGAGUAUUGUAUUAGAGAAAGACCGUAUUGCAUUGUAAUCCUAAAUUGAAUAGGUUCUCCACCUCUUCUGAUUAGCUUGGGUAACCAUGACAUACUGCUAGGUGUCACUCAUGGUUUGUGGAAGCCCUAAAUGUGUAUAAUCACUAAAGGGGGAAUUGAAAGUAAGUUUCAAUUCACAAGCGAUUUGAAAGAGUUCUAAUCGCCCACUGCCUCGCUAAAAGGAACCUAAAGGAUCGUACACCGUGUAAGGUAGAGAUUGAAGAAACAACGGAGAUGGGUAAGGAUAAUUAAAUGGUUUAAUUAUUUAUGGCAAGGAUUAAUUAAUAUGUUAAUUAAUCAAACGAAUAAAGUUCGUUGAAGACCUCGGGUUAGUUUUGGGCUGCAAGGCCCGAUGGGAUUUGAAUGUCAAGCCCAUUAACUCAACUUGUAUGACAACUUGAAUAAACAAAGGGCUUGAAAGCCCAGUAAACCCUUAGGGCCGGCCAAAUAGAGGAGGGUAGUGAACUUGCUUUAAUUGCAAGUUUGCCACUCCAUUGUGAGGUGGUAUAAAGGCAACUUUAUAGCCAUUUCAUCCUUAGGGUUUCUUUUAGAGAAAAGAUGAGAACACAAUGUCUCUCCCUUUCUCUAAGAGGCCGGCCCCCUUGGAGGAGAUUAUCUAGCAAUCUCUCAUCCUCCAAGGUCACUCCUCUCUUCUUCAAGUCUCUGCUUGGUGUGGAAAAAUUAGAGGUUCUCUAUUUUGAGAAAUUGGAGAAUCUUUUCCACCAUCCUCCUCCAAGAAAUCGAUGGAUCUAAGAAGCAAGGAAUGAAGGCCCUCUCCUUGAGUGAUUAGCCUUUGCUUAUGCAAAGAGGAAUCUUCAAAGGUAUAAAGUUUCUCAACUUACUUUGUUUUGAGUUGAGUCUCGGUUCACCCUUUUACUAGGCUUUGAAUUUCAUGGGUAAUGUUUUGUUUUGAGUGCAUACAAGCAUGAUUCCGCCUUUAAUUGUUAAUUGCAUGCUAUAGAUGUUGCUCAAAUGAACAUGUUUUUCACAAAAUUUCCUUUUGGGUUUUGUAGUUCAUAGUCUUUGAUUUGAAUGUUGUAAUUGUUACAAGCUUUAUUCUUGCUUCUUUGAAUGUAAAUUUUGUUAGAAAAUUUUCCAUCUCAAAUGUUGUAGAUGUAGUUCAUAUGAGCAUGAAUUUUGGAGCUAAAAUUUGGUGCCAUGUUUUUGGGGAAAUUCGGCCAAAUCCAAAGGGUGAUUUUUUAGGUUCAUGUUUAUCUUGUUAAAAGUGUUUUAAAGUGACUUUUGAAACCCCUAAGUACCCUAGAAUGCUAACCCCAUUUUGAGUAGUGAAAAUUUGAGUUUUAUUGAGUGAAAAUGUUCAUGGAACUCUUAUGGGUUUUCAUGGAUGUUUUUCAUUUUUCUUGAUGUUCUUACCAAGAACAAAAAGUUUGGUGUUUUGAUUCAAAGUUUUUGGUUGAUUUCAUAAAGUCUUUGUUUUGUGUUGGUUGGUGUGAUUUUUUCAAAAUUUGAAAAGUGAUUGAAAUUUGAAAAUUUGAAAUUUGAAAAUGUGUUUGAAUUUUGUACAUGAUUGGUACUUCUCUUACACACCAACCCAUCACUCACUUGUUCAACUUGCAUGACUUUAUGACUUUGCUUUUCAUCAAAAAUCAACUCACACACCAUCACUCACACUACUCCAAAACCGGCCACCCUACAAGUAGGGUACUUUUGGAGUUUUUAUGCAAUUACAUAAAGUUUUGAUACUUUUGUGUAUUUGUAGUUUGACCCAAAAAGUUUACGUUUUUACGUAAAGGCCCAAAAUCACUAAAGGACAAAUUGUUUUGUUCCUUUAAUGAAGUUUUUGAAUUUGUUGAAAUUUUUGGUUUCUAGUUGUAAUUACAUGAAGUAGUGGACUUUUGUGUUUUUAUAAAGUGACCUCAAAAGUUUAUGUUUCGCAAUAUAGCCCAAAAAUUUGAGGUUAUUGCUUUUCGGCCCAAAUUAGGUUGAGAACAAAAUGGUUUUGUCUCUUUAAAUGAGAAUUGGAUUUUCAUUUCCUUUAGCUCCAUUUAAAUCAAGUCUAUGGAUACAAAAACCAAAUGACAAUGUUGCAUUCAAGUUUAAUUAGUUAAAGCGUUAAUUAAUUAAAGGGUGAUUAUGAACCUAAGCCUACGAUAAUUGAGCUAUGUACAAGGCCGUCUCAAAAUUGUUUGAACCAUGGGAAUGUGUAGAUUAGAUUUUGGUUGUAAUUUGAUAUGAUCAAAUAUUGUAAAAGUGCAUAAGCUCUUCUUUACUUUAAAGUAAUUUGUUUUGAUCAAAUGUUGUAAAAGAGCAUAAGCUCUUCUUUACUUUGAAGUACUCAUUUUCUUGUUUUAUUCGAUAUGCAUGAAAUUGGAGUAGUUGGGUCCAACGCCCAAUAGGAAAAACACGCCUUAAUAUGAUUAAACGCAUAACUAAAAUCAAUCACAAUCCCUAGACCGAGAU